rnacentral:misc_RNA from 1 species
GGCACUUGAUUCCUUUGUUGCUUGGGAAUUGGAGUUCCCUCUAGUUGCUGUUAAGAAAGCAUUGAAGACUCUUGAGAAUGAACAGGAAUGGAAGAGGAUAAUUCAGGUAAUAAAGUGGAUGCUGAGCAAAGGCCAAGGACAGACAAUGGGAACAUACUUCACGUUACUCAAUGCUUUAGCAGAGGAUGGGAGGCUUGAUGAAGCUGAAGAGCUUUGGACAAAAUUAUUUUCAGACAACUUAGAAAGCAUGCCGCGCAUUUUCUUUAAUAAAAUGAUUGCUAUUUAUUACAAGAGGGAUAUGCAUGAGAAGAUGUUCGAGGUAUUUGGAGCUGCCAUCUCUUUCUAAGCUCUGUUGUUUUCAACUGUAAAUGAAGCCUUUGCUUCUUUAGUUAAUUUUUCAACAAUGCAAGUAUGCAACUGUCUGUCUCUGGCAUUCGAGUCAUGGAAGAUGAAUAAUGAUUUUUGUUUACCAAAACACUUGUGGCUAUAGUUUUCUGUUAGAGCUGAGGUCUGGAAGAUAGAUACUACAUCAGACACGUCAUGAUUUUGUGUCAUCUAUUGCACAGUUGGACUAUCUGUUGCAGAUUAUGAUGAGUUGAUCCGCUGACAUUGGUUUUGAUGAUCACUUUUAUUGAGAAAUUUUAACAAUUUGAUAGAAGAUCCAAUUUUAUAUGGCAUUCUUAUCUCCCUACUCCUGAUACCUCACUUGGUUAAGUUCUACGCUAUAGAAGCAAUUAUACUCAUGAUUGAACUUAAUGGCAUCCCAGUUUCAAAAUAGAUGUAUUCUAGGAUUAUCUGGUUAUCGAAGCAAUUUGUUGGAUUCUUUUGGUGAAAUCUUGGUAAUGCUGCUGUGUGAAUUAGCCAAUCGUGAGAAUUCAUCGUCUUACAAAUUCUCAUGAAACAGUUGCUAUGUUUUCAAAUAUCGUUUUAUUCCUUUGCUAUAUGUUUCCCUGUUUUAUUACUUUUUCAGUUUUUUUUCUUUCCUCGCCAAGAUUGGAUUUUCAACUUCAACUGUCAUGCAAAUUCUUUGAUCCUUGUUUUCAUUUAAAAUCAAAUUUAUGUGUUCUGAACUGAUUCUAGUUCAGGUUGCAUGGUGCAGCCUGCCCUGUUUCCAGUUAACUAACUUUGUGGUUUACUCUUGCAUAGAUAUUUGCUG